rnacentral:rRNA from 3 species
GGGUUGUGAGGUUAAGCGACUAAGCGUACACGGUGGAUGCCCUGGCAGUCAGAGGCGAUGAAGGACGUGCUAAUCUGCGAUAAGCGUCGGUAAGGUGAUAUGAACCGUUAUAACCGGCGAUUUCCGAAUGGGGAAACCCAGUGUGAUUCGUCACACUAUCGUUAACUGAAUACAUAGGUUAACGAAG